rnacentral:rRNA from 1 species
GAGUUUGAUCAUGGCUCAGGACGAACGCUGGCUACAGGCUUAACAUAUGCAAGUCGAGGGGCAUCAGUUUGGGUUGCUUGCAAACCAAAGCUGGCGACCGGCGCACGGGUGAGUAACACGUAUCCAACCUGCCUCAUACUCGGGGAUAGCCUUUCGAAAGAAGAUUAAUAUCCGAUAGCAUAUAUUUCCCGCAUGGGUUUAUAUUAAAGAAUUCGGUAUGAGAUGGGGAUGCGUUCCAUUAGUUGUUGGGGGGUAACGCCCACCAAGACUACGAUGGAUAGGGGUUCUGAGAGGACGGUCCCCCCAAUUGGAACUGAGACACGGUCCAAACU